UGGGGAAUUUUGGACAAUGGGCGAAAGCCUGAUCCAGCAAUGCCGCGUGUGUGAAGAAGGCCUUCGGGUUGUAAAGCACUUUUGUCCGGAAAGAAAUCCUUGGCUCUAAUACAGUCGGGGGAUGACGGUACCGGAAGAAUAAGCACCGGCUAACUACGUGCCAGCAGCCGCGGUAAUACGUAGGGUGCAAGCGUUAAUCGGAAUUACUGGGCGUAAAGCGUGCGCAGGCGGUUUGCUAAGACCGAUGUGAAAUCCCCGGGCUCAACCUGGGAACUGCAUUGGUGACUGGCAGGCUAGAGUAUGGCAGAGGGGGGUAGAAUUCCACGUGUAGCAGUGAAAUGCGUAGAGAUGUGGAGGAAUACCGAUGGCGAAGGCAGCCCCCUGGGCCAAUACUGACGCUCAUGCACGAAAGCGUGGGGGAGCAAAACAGGAUUAGAUACCCUGGUAGUCCACGCCCUAAAACGAUGUCAACUAGUUGUUGGGGAUUCAUUUCCUUAGUAACGUAGCUAACGCGUGAAGUUGACCGCCUGGGGAGUACGGUCGCAAGAUUAAAACUCAAAUGAAUUGACGGGGUCAUAGCUGUUUCCU
rnacentral:rRNA from 1 species